CCUACGGGAGGCAGCAGUGGGGAAUUUUGGACAAUGGGCGAAAGCCUGAUCCAGCAAUGCCGCGUGAGUGAAGAAGGCCUUCGGGUUGUAAAGCUCUUUUGUCAGGGAAGAAACGGUGGGAGCUAAUAUCUCCUGCUAAUGACGGUACCUGAAGAAUAAGCACCGGCUAACUACGUGCCAGCAGCCGCGGUAAUACGUAGGGUGCAAGCGUUAAUCGGAAUUACUGGGCGUAAAGCGUGCGCGGGCGGUUUUGUAAGUCUGAUGUGAAAUCCCCGGGCUCAACCUGGGAAUUGCAUUGGAGACUGCAAGGCUAGAAUCUGGCAGAGGGGGGUAGAAUUCCACGUGUAGCAGUGAAAUGCGUAGAUAUGUGGAGGAACACCGAUGGCGAAGGCAGCCCCCUGGGUCAAGAUUGACGCUCAUGCACGAAGACGUGGGAGGACGAACAAGGAGUAGUAUACCUACGGUAGUACCGACCGACCCGUAACCGACUAGUCUACUAGUUGUUCGGUUCGUUA
rnacentral:rRNA from 1 species